GUCUCAGUUCGGACUGUAGUCUGNAACCCGACUACACGAAGCUGGAAUCGCUAGUAAUCGCGAAUCAGAAUGUCGCGGUGAAUACGUUCCCGGGUCUUGUACACACCGCCCGUCACACCAUGGGGGUCGGGAAUGCCCGAAGCCGGUGACCUAACCGAAAGGAAGGAGCCGUCGAAGGCAGGUCUGAUAACUGGGGUGAAGUCGUAACAAGGUAGC
rnacentral:rRNA from 1 species